CGGGUGAGUAACGCGUGGAUAACCUGCCUCACACUGGGGGAUAACAGUUAGAAAUGGCUGCUAAUACCGCAUAAGCGCACAGUACCGCAUGGUACGGUGUGAAAAACCCAGGUGGUGUGAGAUGGAUCCGCGUCUGAUUAGCCAGUUGGCGGGGUAACGGCCCACCAAAGCGACGAUCAGUAGCCGACCUGAGAGGGUGACCGGCCACAUUGGGACUGAGACACGGCCCAG
rnacentral:rRNA from 1 species